rnacentral:rRNA from 1 species
GAUUUCUGGCUUGGUGCGCCUGGCCCGCCGCCGUUAGGCGUGUGUGUGCUGGGUCGCGCCUGCCAUCCUUCUGGAGAACGAGUCUGCUCUUCAUUGAGUUGGGCUCGCCAUCCAGAUCUUUUACUUUGAAAAAAUUAGAGUGUUUCAAGCAGGCUUUUGCUAUGAAUACAUUAGCAUGGAAUAAUAAUCUAGGACUUCGGUUCUAUUUUGUUGGUUUCUAGGAUUGAAGUCAUGAUUGAUAGGGAUAGUUGGGGGUGCUAGUAUUCAGCGGCCAGAGGUGAAAUUCUUGGAUUCGCUGAAGACUAACUUAUGCGAAAGCAUU